rnacentral:rRNA from 1 species
UGGGGAAUUUUGGACAAUGGGGGAAACCCUGAUCCAGCCAUCCCGCGUGUGCGAUGAAGGCCUUCGGGUUGUAAAGCACUUUUGGCAGGAAAGAAACGUCAUGGGUUAAUACCCCGUGAAACUGACGGUACCUGCAGAAUAAGCACCGGCUAACUACGUGCCAGCAGCCGCGGUAAUACGUAGGGUGCAAGCGUUAAUCGGAAUUACUGGGCGUAAAGCGUGCGCAGGCGGUUCGGAAAGAAAGAUGUGAAAUCCCAGAGCUCAACUUUGGAACUGCAUUUUUAACUACCGGGCUAGAGUGUGUCAGAGGGAGGUGGGAUUCCGCGUGUAGCAGUGAAAUGCGUAGAUAUGCGGAGGAACACCGAUGGCGAAGGCAGCCUCCUGGGAUAACACUGACGCUCAUGCACGAAAGCGUGGGGAGCAAACAGG